UUUUUUUUUUUUUUUUUUUUUUUUUUUUUUUUUUUUUUUUUUAACAGGUUGUUUCAACGACAUGUUUGAACAAGAAGAAAAUGAGUUGGACUAAACAAAUGGAAAAUUAAG
rnacentral:ribozyme from 1 species